GUGUAUGUCAUAUUGUUUAGUAGGUAAUCUAUUGAAUUAUUGCUUAAUGUUGUUUUCUGAAUUUAUUCUGUUAUUUAUAUGCAUUUUUAAGAAAAACUCAACGCGCUUUUGGUUUUAAUAAUAGUCCGAUAUAAAGUUACGAAUAAGAUCAUGGACAAGUACACUGUACCCAACAUUCCUACUUCUCAACAAGUAUUAGAAGAUAUAUUUGACAAUGAAGUCGUUCAGGUGAAAGACCAUCCCAUUAAAUUAGUGGAAGGAAAUGAAAGUUUACACAAUGCAUAUUGUAGUUAUAAAAAUUUUAAGCAGCUUCAAGAAGAUGUAAUGAAACAAGACGGACUAAAUUCAAAGUUAGAUGAAUUAAAUCAAAAAUUAGUAGACAACAUAACUAGUUUGAGAAAACAAAUGUAAUGUACUAACUUUGUAUUUACAUGGGCUUAGUAUACCCCUUUAUCAAAAUA